GAUGAACGCUAGCGGCAGGCUUAACACAUGCAAGUCGAGGGGUAUUGGUUUUCGGACCAAGAGACCGGCGCACGGGUGCGUAACGCGUAUGCAAUCUACCUUUUGCAGAGGGAUAGCCCAGAGAAAUUUGGAUUAAUACCUCAUAGUAUAGUACUUUGGCAUCAAGGAACUAUUAAAGUCACAACGGCAAAAGAUGAGCAUGCGUCCCAUUAGCUAGUUGGUAAGGUAACGGCUUACCAAGGCUACGAUGGGUAGGGGUCCUGAGAGGGAGAUCCCCCACACUGGUACUGAGACACGGACCAGACUCCUACGGGAGGCAGCAGUGAGGAAUAUUGGACAAUGGGCGCAAGCCUGAUCCAGCCAUGCCGCGUGCAGGAUGACGGUCCUAUGGAUUGUAAACUGCUUUUAUACAGGAAGAAACACUCCGACGUGUCGGAGCUUGACGGUACUGUAAGAAUAA
rnacentral:rRNA from 1 species